rnacentral:rRNA from 1 species
GAUGAACGCUGGCGGCGUGCCUAAUACAUGCAAGUCGAACGGAGUUUGUAGCAAUACAGACUUAGUGGCGAACGGGUGAGUAACGCGUUGGUGACCUGCCCCGAAGUGGGGGAUAACGGCUCGAAAGGGCUGCUAAUACCCCAUGCGGUCAUUGGGAUUAGAAUCCGAUGACCAAAGGAUUUAUUCGCUUCGGGAGGGGCCUGCGUCCCAUCAGCUAGUUGGUAGGGUAAUGGCUUACCAAGGCUAUGACGGGUAGGGGACCUGAGAGGGUGGCCCCCCACAAUGGAACUGAAACACGGUCCAUACACCUACGGGUGGCAG